CGCUCCGGCUCGCCGGAUCCAUGAACGACCAGAGCUCCUCGCCAUGACCUUCAUCCUCGAGCUCCGCCUGUGUCUGCUUCAGGUUGCUGGACGCCCAUCUCAUGACACCAUCCAUGCAGCAGCCCGACUGAUCUCGCGCACAGAGAAGCUUCUUUUCACUUAGGGCCAUUCCAAUUUCAACAUCAGCUUGCAGCCCAGCUGAUCAGGCGCCACUUAUGGGCCUCGACCCAGAUCGAUCCGCAGCAGCACAUCGCCCGCGCGGCCCGGUUAUUCCCGUCGCCGCUGCAGACCAGAUCCGG